GUCCUACGGGAGGCAGCAGUGGGGAAUUUUGGACAAUGGGGGCAACCCUGAUCCAGCCAUGCCGCGUGAGUGAAGAAGGCCUUCGGGUUGUAAAGCUCUUUCGGCCGGGAAGAAAUCGCAUCAGCUAAUACCUGGUGCGGAUGACGGUACCGUAAUAAGAAGCACCGGCUAACUACGUGCCAGCAGCCGCGGUAAUACGUAGGGUGCGAGCGUUAAUCGGAAUUACUGGGCGUAAAGCGUGCGCAGGCGGGUUUGUAAGACAGGCGUGAAAUCCCCGGGCUCAACCUGGGAACUGCGCUUGUGACUGCAAGGCUAGAGUAUGGCAGAGGGGGGUGGAAUUCCACGUGUAGCAGUGAAAUGCGUAGAGAUGUGGAGGAACACCGAUGGCGAAGGCAGCCCCCUGGGCCAAUACUGACGCUCAUGCACGAAAGCGUGGGUAGCAAACAGGAUUAGAUACCCUGGUAGUC
rnacentral:rRNA from 1 species